UUUAAUUCAAAAUGGGUAAAUGGAUGAAAUUAUAAGCAAGAUUAAGAAGAUUAAAAUGGUGUGAUUUGCAAGGACGAAAUCUCAUCGUGGUUGAACAGGAACAAGAGAUUAAGGACUCCAAGAAGCGAUUUUUUCCCCAAAAUCAAAGAAGAAGCAAACAUAACCUAACUUUUAUCUCGAUUCAAACGCAAUCAUUCAACAUCGUCGUGAUUUUGAAGAAAUUUGUGGAUAUUACUUUGACUUUAAUAGGUUGAGAAAAUUUUAUGAAUUCAGGAAAUUAGUGAGGUGGAUCAACGCUUAUUUAAAGAAGAAAUGAAUAGGAUGGAUAUUAGAUACAAGCGAAUCCUUUGUUAAAAAAAUCAUCUCUGGUGUCUAAGAAUCUCGAUACACCUCAACGAUGGAUUUGUUGUACACUCGCGAGAGGUAGAGAGUAGAGUCAAGGCGCGAAUCUUAUCGUUCACUUGGUACGAGACGUCGACGAUGGGGAGCUUGGUUCUGAGUACCAAGGAGGUUUUUUGCAAUAUAACCCAAUGUGGGACGUUAAGAACCGCGGUGAAAGAAAUCAACGAAAGGAGGAAAAAAAAUAAAACAAAUAGAAGGAGAAACAGGUAACUAUUUAGACGUUAGAAAUUCAUAUAUUAUUAUUAUUACUAUGAUUAAGAAGAGAAAAUGUAUCUCUUCGAAAGAGGACGAGUUGAGGCUGAAGGGAAAUCCAUCGAAUCAUAUAAAUAUGCAUUCUUUGGUGGUUACGUAAUUUUUAUUCUAUUUAUUUUGGGUACACUUAAAAAUUAAAAAUGUGAAAUUCA
rnacentral:lncRNA from 1 species